CAGGUUCGAUCCCUGCAUCGAGCACCA
rnacentral:misc_RNA from 1 species